UGCUCCUCCGGCUGGCUUGCCUUGACCCGCCCUUUGCAGCAGACACUUUCGGGGGGGGGGUGCCCACCCAUCUGCUGGUAGCCUUGGCCUUCGUGCUGAGGAGAUUGUUUACUGCAAAUGCCUGUGACUCCCUGCCCGAGCGGGUUUUCUGGCAACACACUCUUCCUGUGUGCGGGGGCACAGGGCAGGCUAGAGCACCCAUGAAGGCGGGGUGGGGUCAGCGGACGAAUCCCACAGUUCGCUUAGGGGAACUUUAGGGACAUGUUCUAUACUGUCUCCCUGAGGUCCCCAGUGGGACCCAGCCCCACCUAGUUGGCUGUACUAACCGCCUUUCCCUUCUGUGCCCUCAUUUCCCUUCCUGUUAUCUCUCAGGUCGUGGUAGGUGAAGACAGCCGCAAGCUCCUCGUCAUUCUCCUAGCAGGAGGCAGGGUGCACACAUCAGCAAAGGCACACUGAAGUCCCAACCCCCAGGGCCUGUGGAUGUGAUCUUGUUUGGAACCGGGGUGGUGGGAGAUGUCAUCAAGUUAAGACGAGGCCGUACUGGAGUAGGUGGUCCCUAAGUCCGCUGGCAGGUAUCCUUUCAAGAAGAAGGAACGAAGACACAGGGACACACACGUCCACCCGCCACGUCACAGCAGAAGCAGAGAUCAGGGUGGCUCGGCAGAAGACAAGGGAUACCUCGGAGUAUGGGCGAGCCCCAGGAGCCAGGAGGGAGGCCGGGAACACACUCUCUGAGGCCUCAAGAAGGAACCUACCUCGCUGCCGCUUGAAUUUUGGACGCGUGGCCUCUGGACCUGUGAGAGAAUGCAUUUCUGGGCUGGCAGCCGGCAGCCUGCAUCGACUUGCUGGCUCUUUAGGAAAUGGGUCUUCCAGCCCAGCUGAUGCUCAAAUGGUAAAAUUGUGAGCAAGCGCCCCAUCCUUGAAUUCACCUCAGGAUGUCCACUGGAGCCUUCAAAUCUUGCUGGCUGCACCCAUACUGCAUGGCCGCUACUGAUUAAGAAAUACAUCUGGAAUAUCGACAGCACAAAAACCCUCCGCAGAUCAAAACCUUUCUCAUCUUAAAGGUUACGAGUAAGCCUGGCCCCGUCUCUAAACUUUCUGGCCCUGGAACACAUAGUUUUAGGGAUGUUUAAAGAGCCAGGUUGAUUUCCAAAGCCAUGAAAUAAGUUCUCGGUCUUAUUUCAUUUUAAUUUUAUUUUUUUUAGAAUUUGUUUUGCACCUAGUAUUUGAAGUCAACCUAAACUGCUCUGCUGGUCUUGGUGCUGGAAGAGUUCUGGUUGGCGUGACCCAUGCAGAGAAGGGAGUUGCAGUUUUCUGACAUUAAAUAUUAACAUGGGGGAUUAAUAAUGAAGGCUGACAGUUCCUUUCUCGGUGUUCCUGAGCGUGUCUCUUCCCAGCCUGCCAGGCCCUUCCCCUGCCCGAGCAAUGUGGCUGGAGCCCCCCGCUUUCCAAGGUCAGGAGAGGUGGCUGCCCGUUAUUCUGAAUUUCUGGGGAGUCUUGCCUGAGGCCCGCUCUGGUUUGGUGGCUCUGUCUAAGGAGAUUCUCCACUCCCAGAGGUAAACUCCUAACUGGCUGACACCAUUGGGAUCCAUUGGUCUCGCGGGUGCCCUGGCUCCCCUCAUGCUUCGAUGGCACAAUUUUGUGGCGUGCUCGACAUGCUCUCUCGAGGUCCUCUGAGGGCCUGGACCCCAGUCACCCACAACAAAGCAUUGCUUGUUCCUCAUUCAUCCUCUGCCGGCACCCUCCCUUUCUGCUCUCACUUCCCCCACCCUUGCCAUUCUUCCUGGAUCUCCUGCUGUUAGGAGCCACAUUGUGUUCCCUGCAAAUUCAGAUGUUGGAGCCCAAACCCGCCAUACAUGAGAAUGGGACUGCAUCUGGAGCUAGGGCCUGGGAAGAGGUUAAGGAGAGAACCUCAGAGGAAUCCCACCCUGCCGGAGCCUUGAUCUUGAGCUUCCAGCCUCCAGAACUAUGAGAGAAGAUCUCCAUUCCUGAAGCUAUGCUGCCUCUGGGAUUUUGUUAUGGUGGCCACAGCAGACAAAUAAACUACC